AUUGAACGCUGGCGGCAUGCCUUACACAUGCAAGUCGAACGGCAGCACGGGAGCAAUCCUGGUGGCGAGUGGCGAACGGGUGAGUAAUAUAUCGGAACGUGCCCAGUCGUGGGGAUAACGUAGCGAAAGCUACGCUAAUACCGCAUACGAUCUAUGGAUGAAAGCGGGGGAUCGCAAGACCUCGCGCGAUUGGAGCGGCCGAUAUCAGAUUAGGUAGUUGGUGAGGUAAAGGCUCGCCAAGCCGACGAUCUGUAGCUGGUCUGAGAGGACGACCAGCCACACUGGGACUGAGACACGGCCCAGACUCCUACGGAGGCAGCAGUGGGGAAUUUUGGACAAUGGCGCAAGCCUGAUCCAGCAAUGCCGCGUGCAGGAUGAAGGCCUUCGG
rnacentral:rRNA from 1 species